ACUGUGCUACCAUUUGGCUGGAGAGAUGGAGAAGCUGACUGCAGUAGGUGGUAAAGAUUUAUAAUUUGAAUAUAAUUUUAUAAUUACUUUGAAGCAGGAAAUCCUAGACAGAUGUGUAGGAAAAGCCUUGCUUCAUAAGGUAUUGGGACACAUACAUCAUCAAACCACCACUCCUAGCUUACAACAAUAUCACCGGCAGAUUCAAAGAGAUCUCAAGGAUCUGUUGUUUGCUGUAUUUGUGUUAAAUCUGAGGUCAUAGAGCUAUACCCGGAAUAAAAUGAUUUAUAGGUUUAUGACUUUAUUAAAA